AGCGAACGCUGGCGGCAGGCCUAACACAUGCAAGUCGAACGAACCUUUCGGGGUUAGUGGCGGACGGGUGAGUAACACGUGGGAACGUGCCUUUAGGUUUGGAAUAACUCAGGGAAACUUGUGCUAAUACCGAAUGUGCUCUUCGGGGGAAAGAUUAAUCGCCUUUAGAGCGGCCCGCGUCUGAUUAGCUAGUUGGUUGAGGUAGUGGCUCACCAAGGCGACGAGCAGUAGAUGGUCUGAGAGGAUGAUCAGCCACAUUGGGACUGAGACACGGCCCAAACUCCUACGGGAGGCAGCAGUGGGGAAUCUUGCGCAAUGGGCGAAAGCCUGACGCAGCCAUGCCGCGUGAAUGAUGAAGGUCUUAGGAUUGUAAAAUUCUUUCACCGGGGACGAUAAUGACGGUACCCGGAGAAGAAGCCCCGGCUAACUUCGUG
rnacentral:rRNA from 1 species